UACGGGGGGGGCAAGCGUUGUUCGGAAUUACUGGGCGUAAAGGGCUCGUAGGCGGCCAACUAAGUCGGACGUGAAAUCCCUCGGCUUAACCGGGGAACUGCGUCCGAUACUGGAUGGCUUGAGUGUGGGGAGAGGGAUGCGGAAUUCCAGGUGUAGCGGUGAAAUGCGUAGAUAUCUGGAGGAACACCGGUGGCGAAGGCGGCAUCCUGGACUACUACUGAACGGCUGAGGAGCGAAAGCCAGGGGAGCAAACGGG
rnacentral:rRNA from 1 species